AUUGAACGCUGGCGGCAGGCCUAACACAUGCAAGUCGAACGAGUGGCGGACGGGUGAGUAAUGUCUGGGAAAAUGCCUGAUGGAGGGGGAUAACUACUGGAAACGGUAGCUAAUACCGCAUACCAUCGGAUGUGCCAAGAUGGGAUUAGCUGGUAGGUGGGGUAAAGGCUCACCUAGGCGACGAUCCCUAGCUGGUGUGAGAGGAUGACCAUCCACACUGUAACUGGGACACGGUCCAGCCUCCUACGGGGUGCACCAGUGGGGAAUAUUGGACAAUGGGCGCAAGCCUGAUGCAGCCAUGCCGCGUGUAUGAAGAAGGCCUUCGGGUUGUAAAUUACUUUCAGCGGGGAGGCGUUACCCGCAGAAGAAGCACCGGCUAACUCCGUGCCAGCAGCCGCGGUAAUAC
rnacentral:rRNA from 1 species